GAAAUAUGGUGUAUUCAAGAAAAAGCUGCUAACUUUAUUCUUUAGCGGUUAAAUUCCGUUUAUAUUUCU
rnacentral:tRNA from 1 species